rnacentral:misc_RNA from 1 species
ACCUUCUCGAUCCCACACUUAAGAUAACACACAGAACUACUUCUAAAUGCGUUUGUUCAUUGGUUUUUCAGAAAUGACUGUUAUACAGAAGAAGGAGCCAGGUCACAUAUUCUUUUUCCAACACAAAGAAACUGGUUUUGAUACAAGAUGUCUCACUCAGGAGAUGCAGCAAAUAACAUUAAAGAUAUGGCUAUUGAUUUCAUAGCAGGAUCCUUAGGAGGAAUUGGCUCAGUUUAUGUUGGUCAACCUUUGGAUACUGUAAAAGUGAAAAUGCAGACAUUUCCAGCAUUGUAUCAGGGAAUGGUGGAUUGUUUUCGACAAACUCUAAUGAAGGAAGGAGUUGCAAGAGGUCUGUAUGCUGGGACAGUGCCAGCUAUAGCAGCAAAUGUUGCUGAGAACUCUGUUCUCUUUGCUUGUUAUGGAUUAUGCCAAAAAGCUAUAGCAAAAGCUGUGGGAGUCCAGAAUACUGGUGAUCUGAGCACUCUUGCAAAUGCUUCUGCAGGUUUCUUUGCUGCCUUCUUUUCAUCCCUUGUUUUGUGCCCUACAGAGCUGGUUAAAUGCCAACUACAAGCCAUGCGGGAGGUUCAGAUGCAAUCACUGAAACAAGGGGAUACAGUGAGUAAAAUUGGACCAUUCCGCUUAACGAAGAAUAUCUUACAAAAAGAUGGGAUCAGUGGUUUGUUCAGAGGAUUAACAUCAACAAUUGCCCGUGAAAUGCCUGGGUAUUUUUUCUUUUUUGGAGGAUAUGAGGCAUCUAGAACAUUCCUUACUCCACAAGGGCAAACAAAAGAUGAUAUAGGACCCCUCAAGACAAUGGCCUCAGGUGCAAUUGGUGGAGUCGUAUUCUGGAUGGUCACAUUUCCUGCUGAUGUGAUAAAAUCACGUAUUCAGGUAGCAGGUUCAAAGGAGACAAUGACUUCAGUUCUGAUGCGUAUCAUUCGGAAAGAAGGUGUUCUGCUGAGUUGAUGUUUCCAUUUUAAGCACAAUAUUUCAACAAGCAACCCAGCUAUCUUCUUCAAGUGCUGUCCAUAUGCACUCUACAAUGGCCUUCGACCAACUGUUGUCCGUACAAUUCCUGCCACUGCAACAUUGUUCCUUGUGUAUGAG